GUAGGACAGUAACGUCAAAUUGCAUUCCUUCACACACACACACAUUCCACUUUAAUUUAAACAGGUAACGUUUAGUUCAUCCAGUUUGUGGCUUCAGGAGAUUCCUUGGUGUAUACAUUACUCCUGCUCGGUGUGUGUUGUGUGUCCCAGUGGCAAAGAGCAUCUGUUCCGUUCACUAUCGGCUUUAUAGCGCAGUCAUGACACACAUCGCAGAGGUUACCUUCGGUCAGGAGGAAUGAGAAUGCAUGCGCGCGCGCGCGCGUGUGUGUGUGUGUGCGCGCGCGGGCGUGUUCGUGUGUGCUGCUACGUGGAAGGAUGUGCUACCUUGUUUACUGUUGAUGCUGUGAGCAGCCAUGUUGAUUUGAUGUCACUUGCUGAUCUUGGGGUUGAGGAAACCGUCCCAAUGUUCCUGAGUUGAGGGGGUGGGGGGAUGGGGGGUUGUUUUUUGUUUCCUAAUCGGUGAUUGGAAAUCUCAAAUGAAUGUUUUAGUCAAAAAGCAUAAGACAAAUCUGUCAGCGCAGGUGAUAUUGCUGCCUCACAGAUCUAGAGGUCCUGGUUCAAUCCUGAGCUCUGUGAUGGACUGGUGGCCCAGCCAGAGUGUAUUCCCAUCUCACACCCAGUUUUCCUGUGAUAGAACUUGGAUCCUCCAUCACUCUCACCAGGAUAAAGCACUUACUUUGAAAUGAAUAUAUGAGUGAAUAACUUUGGGACUUGCAAUUCAAUGCCAUUGUAUUAUACAAUGACAAUAAAGAAAUUUCUAUUCUAUUCUGUUCCCUUUCAAAGGGAAAUCAUCGUUGCGUGACUUCAUGCUAUCUGAAGCGCCCUCGUGCAUGACCAGUAUCUGAAGUCUGUGUAAAAUCAUGCCUAUUUAUAUGCCUGCCGUGGUCAGGUGACGUGCCAUUUCGUGUAUCGCAUGACUAUAAAAUGGCGUUUGUAAACCACGCCAUCAGCUUUAUUAUCUUCAGCGAAGACCAUAUGUCAGUUGUCUGUUUGAACAUUCCUAAAACUCUUCACUUCUCUCUAUUUUCAGAAAAAUAUUUUAGGGGGCUGACUGCACACACUGUGAAGGCUUCACAAUUAAGCAGCUCUGCUCUUGGCUCACUCUCUUCUCAGUCAAAGGGAGUUGGGUUUCAGAACCUCGGGCUCUGGGCAGGCUCUUGCCGAGGCAGGCGGCUGGCUCAGGUCCUGGGGAUCCCAUAUGGAUCUGGAGGAGCAACCGGAGACGAGCACGGCUCUAUCUCUUGCCCUUUCCUCCGGAGCUGACUCUCCACCUCUGGGUUUUAGAGCUUGCAUAGCAACUUCUCCUUUCUGGUAUGGAGAGUCAACCUACCCUCUCUGGCUCCCCCCUCUGGCUCCUCUGAGUCAGUGUUCCAAAAACGGAGAGCAACUCUGAAUCCUUUAAACAGCUGCUUGAAGUGAUCACUAAGGCUGUCGAAAAACUGAAUUUAGACUGGCCUGGGGAAGAGGAAGUGGCUCGUGGCAGGCUAGAUGAGUGUUUCUCCCCAGUGAAAAUAAAUGUCCCUGACACUGCAGAAAACUCCCCUUUUUUUAAGAAGUUCAUGAAGAAAUAUUGCGCUUUGGGGAAAAUUAUACACUAGCCAGGUUUAUAACCCCACGAUGUCUGAUUAUUCUGCCAUCGUGAGGAAUGAACAGUUCGGGUAUUUUGCUAAGGCAAUGGUGGAGGAGACUCCAGGGCAUCCAUGUACUAAACUACCUGGACAGCAACAUCUCUAGCAUGAUCGCCAACUCGCUGGAUUGCACUAGAGAUGUUGCACAUGAGGAGCUUGGGGCUCAGGUUGAACCCCAAGAAAAGUAUGCUUUCUCCAGUGCAAAGGAUGACUUUUCUAGGGGUUAUAUGGGAUUCCACUACGAUAAGGGCGUAUCUAUCCUCAACACAUCUAUCCUAUCAACCUGUUAACAUUGAGCAAGAUAAAGCUGGGUCUGGGCAUCCCCUCCAGUUUCUACAAGAGACUGUUGGGGCUUAUGGCAGCAGCAACGAACAUCAUACCGUUGGGCCUAUUUCACAUAAGACAGUUUCAGUGGUGGUUGAAAAGUCGGGGGUUUCAUCUGUGGACGAAAACCCUGACUGUAAUCAGUGUCACACGGCGAUGCCUUAAUGCUCUGAGAAUUUGGAGGUGUCCCCGGUUUCUAGCCUCGGGUCAUGCCCGGGCAUCUCCUCUAGGGGCAUCUCCUUUUCGCAAGACUGAAUGACAGAUGUCUCUCUCACGGGCUGGGGCACUCCUAGCAAUGAAAUACUUUCUUCCUCAGUUGAGAGGUCACCAUGUGUUAGUUGUGACAGACAAUACAGCAGUGGUCUUAUAUAUCAACCACCAGGGAGGGUUACAUUCGUGCCUCCUGUUCAGGCAGGCGCAACUAAUUCAGGCAGGCGCAACUGGAAUGUGGGGGCAGACAUCCUGUCAAGGCAGGGUCUGAGGCUCCAUGCACAAGUGGUGGAGUCCAUAUGGUAUAGGUUCGGCCAAGCAGAAGUGGAUGCCUCCAAGGAGACAACACACUGCCCGAAGUGGUUCACCCUCACUCCUCCCGCACCAUUAGGGCUGGACGCCAUGGUACACAUGUGACCGAGGUCAAAUCUGUACGCCUUUCCCCCGAUCUCUCUGCUCCCACAAGUUCUAGCGAGAGUUUGCCAAGACUUCGUCUGCUGCUAGUAGCACCUUAUUGGCCAGCUCAAAUAUGGUUCUCUGAGAUAACAUCCCUGCUAAACGGCACUUCUUGGGAGAAUCCCAUUCGCAGGGAUCUCCUGUCUCAAGCAUGAGGGUUCAUUUAUCACCCUCGUCCGGAACUAUGUAAACUGUGGGUCUGGCCCCAAGGGGCACCAGCUCAUAUAUUCCGGUCUCAUGUUGAAUGCAAGAGCACAAGAAAAUUGUAUGUGCUCAAGUUGUGACUUUUUGUCUUUUUGUCUGGCUCCAUCUACAAUUAGGGUCUACAUGGCCGCCAUUUCAGCCAGCCAUGUCCCUAUUAAUGGAGCCUUGUUGGGGAAACAUCCUCUAACAUAGAGAUUUAUGCAUUUCUGUGGUCCUGGCACCCCAUUUGAGCCCUUAGAGUCAGCAUUAGAGAAGCUUCUGACUAUCUCUCUGCUGCCCCUUCCUACCUUGACUUUGCCCCUGGAUUAGCCAAGGCCUUCCUAUAUCCUAGGCCAGAUUAUAUUCCUAAAGUUCCUUCAUCUGCUGCCCAGCCAGUAGAGUUGCAGGCUUUCUGUCCUCCUCCGUUCCUUACACUGUGUUGUAAGACGGAGCAGUUGCUGGUCUGCUUUGGCAGCGACAGAGAAGUGAUGCUAUGUCAAAGCAGCGCAUCUCUAAUUGGAUAGUGGAAGCAAUCUCUACUGCUUAUGAGGUGCGCAGUCUCGCUACGCCUCUGGGCACAAGGUCUAAUUCCACUGGGGGGUCGCCUCCUCGAAGGCUUUAUCCAAAAGGGUACCCUUACAGGUUGUGUGUGCUGCAGCAGGGUGGUCUACACCGCACAUAUUCAUUCAGUAUUACAGUUUGGAUAUGGAUUCCACCCCAGGCUUGAGGGUCUUACCGUGACCCUCAGGCUCAGACCUUUUUGAACAAGCCAUACCCUCAGUAUGACGGAGUGGGUAUACUUGUUCCCACAGUGUGAAGCUCACGCAGCAUUGAGUUCCUUUUGAAAGGGAACGUCUGGGUUACGCAUGUACCCCUAUUCCCUGGGAAGGGAAUGAGAUGUUGUGUAGCUUUGUCAUACUGGGGCAUGGAUGUGAAUUGCGUCUUCUCUUCAGAUAGUAGAAGCUGAUGACGUCGUUUACAGGCGCCAUUUUAUAGUCACGUGAUACGUGAAAUGCCACGUCACCUAACUACGGCAGGCCUAUAAAUAUGCGUGAUUUUACACAGACUUCAGAUACCGGUCACACACAAGGGUGCUUCCCACAGCGUGAAGCUCACGCGACAUCUUGUUCCUUUCUCAGGGAACAAGGUUACAUGCGUAACCCAGACAUUUUUUUCCUAGGCUACUUAAUAAUCUUUCAACAAAUGAUGAAAAGCCACAUUAAUUAUUUGACCAGAAUUAUAGAUGAUUCAUGUUUUCACUGCUUCAUGUUGAUGGGAAAUGCAUUUGUCACAUCACUGAGCGUAAUCACAGGCUAUAGAUAGCAUCAGAGCAGCCAAAGGUCACCUAAGCUGACUCAACCUUUGCAGAACAUGCUACUUCUCAAACACUUAAAAUUUCUCACAUGCUUGUCUGGGCCAAAUUGUUUUCAAUUGGAGCACAAUAUUGCUUAAUAGACAGCACCACACCAGAAAUUAUUAUCACGACUGAACUAAAAUGAAAAAACAAAAAACAAACAUGGCUGGUGUAUUAAUUACACAUAGACAUGUAAUGUAAUGCACAACAGAAUGUUUUUCUUUGCAUAGCCCAACUUGGAAAACAGUUGGGAUCAAAAUGAGGUCAGCCAGAGAACAUGAUGUUUAAGAGUAACAACCGAGGAAGUGCACAGACUCAAACUCUAGACUCAAACUUUACUAGCCUACUCUGUCUAGCCUUACCACUGUCCAGAUUAAAGUUUCUUCCCUGAGUUUUUCAGUAUGUACCUUUGUACAUUGUAAUAUGAAAUAAGUGUGAAAUAUUUAGGAAAUGUCUUUUCCUUCAUUAAAGGCAAUGUUCUAAAAUUUAUUUCAAGCCCUUAUCUUUGAUUAAAGGCUAAAGUGCAGUACUCCCCCAUGUUUGACAAUUUUUUUCUGUUGAAUUUAUUACAUUACCGUUUCAAAAUUUGACAAAUUUUUACUGUUGAAUUUAUUACAUUACUGUUUCAAAGGUUGAACCUAUUUUUUAAAUGGUUUUCCUUGUACAUGUCUGUCUCCUUUGUUUCAAUUUAGCCGUGUUUAUGUCAUAACUGCCUAGUUCCUUGUAAGUAAAAUCAUUCUUGGCCAGUAUAAUUCUGUCUGAUUCUGAUUCUUCUACUGAAUGACAACAGGGGAAAACAUCUGCUAAUCUGCCAUCAUACCCGUGUUCAUCUGAGGUAGACUAGGAUACAUAGUAAUGGAAUUUUAUGCAUAUUCAGCAGACUGACCCCAGGUGACCCCAAGUGCUCCCAAUCCGGGGAAAAGGUCGUGUGAUGUCAUGGCUCUGGGUGCUGAUCCAGACGCUGCAGGACAGCGAGUUUGCGGAAGUAAUGAGUGAGCAUUACUGAUGACGAAAGACACCACAGAAUGAAGAAAUAACGGAAAGAGCGAAAGCUUGGCCAAGAACAGACACGAGGCUGUGUUGUCACUUCCAGUAAACUCAGAUAUUAUGUGUUGUUUGUGUGUGUGUGUGUGUGUGUGUGUGUGUGUGCGCUCAAUAGCUAGACCAAUAGGAACAGAAAAGUUUUAUUCUCCAUAAUCAGUAGAUUGGAAUUGGGACAAUAAUUUCAA